ACUGGUUUAUUAAAUGUGAGGAGUAAAAUGCCUGCAGUAGAACUAAAACAGAGUGGUUGAUGCAGCAGAGAGAGAGAGAAGAGAAGAGAAGAAAAGAAAAAGAAGGGUAAGACAACUCAAGACCAGGAGACCCUGGGGAGAAGCAGGCAGAACCAUAGAGAUGGAGAGAAGGCGGGGUGUCUGUCUCUGUCCCUGGCAUCAUGUGCAGUGGUGACUUGCUCAUCUUUACCUGAUGGCUCUGGCUCCAGAGAAGGCCAGCCCUAGUGCCUUUGUCUAUCCCAGAGGCUCUUUUGGAAACUUCAGCCAAAUCAGCUCCUUUGCAACCUUAUUCUACCGCAGGAGGCGUGAAGGCAAAUCUCUUAAUCCAGGAUCAUCACUGA